rnacentral:lncRNA from 1 species
AUCUGCAGGGGCUGAUACAGGCAGAGUGGGCCGAGCCCAGGCAGGGCACCAUGCCACCCCCGCCGCAUCCUAGUCAUCCUAGCCCCAGGGGUAACACAGACCCCACCAUGAUGGGAGACUCCAUAGAACACCACACCUACAUUCAGGACUUAUCCCAGGAAAUGUCUCCCCUAGCCAGGUGCCCGGCAGCCCUCUCUAGGAGGCACCACCACAGAAGGAAGAGCCAGCCACGUGGGCGAUUCCAGGCAGAGUGCAGAGAAGGCCCUCGCUCUGGCUAGGAGUGGCCUGCAUGGGCUGGUGGGGGAGGCUGGUGGCAGCCAAGGCCGACGGGAGGGGAUUCGUGGACUGUCAGGCAGCAGAGGACUCCAGGCAGGGGGGCAGCUGAAUUGGCAACAUUCAAUUCUUCCAGGAAUAUUCUUGGAGAGCCUCUGGCAGGGAACAAAGACAAACUCCAUGUGUGGCAGGCGGACAGACAUGAAGGAGCUGAGAGGUGCUGUGGAGAACGGGAGUCCCAGGGAGGGUGAUUUGGGGAGUGGGAUGCAGGGGAGGCCUCUCAGAUGAAUGGGCAAUCAAAGCUCCUUCCCCACUGAGGCCGGGGAGUGAGCCACGUGGCUACCUAGGAGAAGAGCAUUCCAGGCAGAGGGAAAGGCAUGUGAAUGCCCCGAGGUGCAGCCUGCUGGACACAUUUGACAAGCAAGGAAAUGUGUGGCCAGAGCCACAGACCAGGGGAGGAGUCAGCAGAGGGGAGGUGGGAGCAGUGGCUCGGGCUUGGGGCCAUCCCAUGGACUCCAGCUGAAUGAUGUGGGAGCCACUGGAGGUCCUGCCUGGACUGGUGUGUUCACAGGGUGCUGUGUCUGCCAUGGGGUGGGGGGAUGGCAGGAGACAGUCAGGAGCCAUGGCA